rnacentral:rRNA from 1 species
UACGUAGGGGGCAAGCGUUGUCCGGAUUUAUUGGGCGUAAAGAGCGUGUAGGCGGCUUGGAAGGUCCGUUGUGAAAACUCGAGGCUCAACCUCGAGACGCCGAUGGAAACCACCUAGCUAGAGUCCGGAAGAGGAGAGUGGAAUUCCCGGUGUAGCGGUGAAAUGCGCAGAUAUCGGGAAGAACACCCGUGGCGAAGGCGGCUCUCUGGGACGGUACUGACGCUGAGGCGCGAAAGCCAGGGGAGCAAACGGG